GGCUAUGUAGUCAAAUUAAUGAUGUUAAAUUGCAAAUUUAAAGUUAAAAUUAUUUCUUAGCUU
rnacentral:tRNA from 1 species